CACGUAGGGCGCAAGCGUUAUCCGGAAUUAUUGGGCGUAAAGAGCUCGUAGGCGGUCUGUUGCGUCCGCUGUGAAAACUCGGGGCUUAACCCCGAGCCUGCAGUGGAUACGGGCAGACUAGAGGUAGGUAGGGGAGAAUGGAAUUCCCGGUGUAGCGGUGAAAUGCGCAGAUAUCAGGAGGAACACCAAUUGCGAAGGCAGCUCGCUGGGACGUUACUGACGCUGAGACGCGAAAGCGUGGGGAGCAAACAGG
rnacentral:rRNA from 1 species